CAAUACCGUCUUCGUCACCUUCCUGUGUAUACCCCAUUCUUGAUAUUGGUUGGAACUUGAAGUGUGGGCCUGGCCUAAUCAGUACUUCUCCCCUUCCCGGACGUGAAUAAAUUGCCUUGUUUAUGUCUGUUGUUUCUUUGUCCAGUCGGUGUACAUGUAGAGACACUCCGGGUGUCAUGAGGCGACAGUACGGGCCCUUCUGCACCUCUUGCUUUCCUCCCCUUUCUUUCCUGUGUGUGUCUUGUGCCGUGAUUGUUUGCAGGUGUGUCGCCCGAGGCGGUGAGGUGCUGAUGAGCUUCCACCUGUCACUUCCCUUCACCGACUCCCAUAAAAGCCCUGGCUCUGCACAACCUCGGCACCAGUUCGUCCGUUUACCCACGCGACCUUUGGCCCUCCGAGGUCCGUGGCUGGAAGCCUGUGCCGCUCGAUCCCUGCUUGUUCCUGGAGACCCCUUGUUUUCUCAGCCUUCCAGUGAUUUUGUGUUUGAAUAAAGACGUUGUUUUGAAUCUGCACUUGGGUCCCAUCCUAACUCUUGACACCGGGGGUGAUAAGAGCAAUGAUACUAAAAAGAGCUCCAGCCCACUCUGUGGAAAGGCGUUAUUGUAGGGUGUCAGGUCCCGGAAACCAGGUUUCUGGUGCCAGGAUUUUAUUUUGAAGGGACAAGGAGAAAUGUUUUGGGUGCUAUGUCCUCAGCUUGGUUUGAUUACUGAUCUGUGUCACCGUUGUCAUUACACAGGCACCUACUGUGCUCCCGCACCGGAGGAGGUUCGGGUGCGAGCACUGUUUUCUGUUACUGUGUCUCUCCUUUAUUAACCUGGUUUUCUCCUGUUUCCUGUUUUCCGAGUCUGGAGAGAGCCCGGCCUCUGGUAGGCCCCAGAGGGAUCCAUACACCGUCAGAUAUUGCUCUGCGGACCUGAGAUGGACAUAUCACCUCCAUCUCCGAGGACCACCCCGGUCUCAUCACUCAUCACCACUGGCCUUCAACCACGAUCCACAUUUCAUUCAUUGUACUGCAUUUAAUAAACUUUGGUAUAAUCUGCUUCUGUGUCCUGGGCACUUGUGUUAGACGGGGUUGUGAUCCAUACAAAUUGAUACACAAAUCAUGACACAGGGUUCAACAUAUUACACUUUUUCACAGUGAUGUUAGGCAUUUAAAGCAAUGUAGUGUGGUAUCUUAAUAAGUGCAGAGUGUGCAACAGUAACUGUAAAAUUUUGUGGAGCUAUGUGGCUGGUUGGUUAGGUUUUGAUGUUGCCAG
rnacentral:lncRNA from 1 species